rnacentral:lncRNA from 1 species
GCAAUUUGAGGUUUUGUCUGUUGCAGACAAAAUGUGUUUGAUUGUAAUGUUGGUUCUAUCUGUUGAUUUGAUGCAGCAGGUAGCAGAUGACUAUGGUCUUGAAGUAUCUGUUUGAUUACCUCAGCCUGCUGAUCAUAAUGUUUCCUCAACGUGAGCUUCACCACCAAGCAGGCCCAUGGUUAUGCUUUUUCGAAAUCUGGUCAAGAACCCAUGGUUAUACAACUGACCAGUCCCGACUUGUGAUGAGUAAGCGUUGUAGUAGAACUCACGAGCUUCCUCUGCUGGUGUCAAAUUCUAGACCAACGUAAGGUUCGGCUCCUGAGCUUUGACACUGGUAAGCUCACUGCAAAUGAUCCAAAGAAGGGGAAGAAAAUACACACACGAGUUCAUCGAAAAUCUCACAUCAGACAAUGAGUUCCUAACUAUUGUAAAAAGCUAAGAAAGCUAGAGAAUUCAGAAGAAAGGAGGAGACUUUAUCAACCAACCCCAGAGAAGAUGCACUCUCAUCUGAACUGAAUUGAACUGAAGCCAACAACACAAGAACGUAAAAGCCAGACCAGAAAUGUUAUCUGUUUGAUUGAAGUAUCUGUUUGCUUGGACUAUCUGCCACUUAGGACGAGUUCCUUAUCAUAAUGUUACAGCUAUUAUCUACAAACACUUAUUGAAGCCACACAGCAAGCCCACAACAAGCCCAAGACUGUCAUUGGAGAGGUCCAUAGAAACCCAUGUAACUAGGGUUCUACCAUUUAGUAUAAAUAGUAGUUUAAGACUUUGUAAAAACUAAUCGUGGCUGCCGUAAGACCAUGAUUAUCCGGAGCUCUUAAGAGCGUUUCUUAGUUUAAUAAGAAUUAAAAAAAAAAUGAAAAAUGGCAAUAAACAUAAGCUACGGCUCUUAAUUAGGGAACAUAAGUGACGUUUCUUGUGAGCUCUAUCUUCUCCCUUUUUCGAUUUCCCGAGCUUCAGAUUAACAAACAUGGCCACCACUGGAAACAAGAAUAUCAACGCCAAACUGGUCAGUACCGAUUUUGUAUAUUCUUUGUGAGAUCUUUUUGUUUAUAUAUCCUCAAAUCCUGACUUCAAUUGAUUUUUUAUUUUUUGGAGAAUUUUGAUUGGAUCGUUGAUUUUCCAAUCAGGGAAAAUUUUCUCUUGUUUCGGAUCUCAUAGUUUCAUAGAUUGCAUGUUUUAUCAGUAUUAAGCUAGGGUUUUGUGUAAAGGUUGUAUCUUUGCAUGGAUUAUCCGAGCUGGUAGCUUUGUUUUAUCAUACAUAUAGACUUCUUUGUUUAACACUUUUUCUCAGUUAUGUCUUGUGGGUUUAGUGGUUGUGUUUUGUAGACUUCUCUUUUAUUAUCUGUUUGAUAGAUAAGAUUCUCGAUGCUAUUUCCCUCUAGUGAGUGCAAGUAUGCUGCUUUGUUCACCUAACAUUCUCUAGUUAUGAUUAUUUUGUUCUUGGUUUAGUGGUUUAAUUUUGUGGACUUAUCUCUUUGAUUAUCUGUUUGAUAGAUAACAUUUUCAACGCAAUUGCUAAGCUGGGAUUUACUGAGCCAACACCAAUACAAGCUCAGGGAUGGCCAAUGGCUUUAAAGGGUAGGGAUUUAAUUUGGCUAUUUCUCCACCUUCUCCGACUACAAGCAAUGUGUCAUCUCCUUCUCCUUGUGAUGUUAAAGUAGGUGAUCCUUUUCCCAGAAGCUCUCUGGAUUGCCUCCGGAGACUGUCUUCCAGCCUUUGCUCAAGGAUAAUCUUGUUGCCAAAGGGAUAGUGCUCACUUUUGUGACCGACUUCUUCAAGGAGUAUUUGGUUGAGAACAGUCUUGAAGACUUGAUUUCUAUUCUGAGGCGUGGCAAAAUGGAAGACAACCUUUUGGAUUUCUUACCACCUGUAAGGCGAACUGCUGAAAGCUUUGCAGAGCAUUUCACGUGAGUUUUCCUCCCUUUAAGUUUGUUCCAUUUCAAUAUCAUAGUUUUGAUUAUUACAUCUUUGAUCAUUGUUCAUUAAUCAAUCAUAUGGUGUUAUAUCCCUCUUUUGUCUGCCUCUACAUGCCAAGUUUGCAUUCUUAUCUUCUGUUUUACGUUGUUAGUACAAUUAGUUGACAAAUAGUUUGUGUUUUACUUUUUUGGAUUCUCAGGAAAGAGGGGUUGACUGAUCUAGUUGAGUACCAUUCAAAGAAAAUGUUUGAGGUGAAGCUGAAGGAAAUCAAAACCGUUCUUACAAGCAAGGUUACAGAGGAAAGUAGUGUAGAUGAAGUCAUUGAGACAGUGAAGCAGCUAGUCAAAGACGCCAAACUCCCAGAGAUUGAGGUUGUGCGUGUCGUUUGGGAUGGUUUAAUGGAUGCUGUUCAGUGGUCUGGUAAAAACCAGCAGCAAAAUGCUAAUUCUGUUCUCCGCCAGGUAAGAUUCAGUUUGCAACUGUCAUGUAACAGUUGCAUAUAGUCUAUGUGUGUUAUUCCAUCUAGGAGUUGUAUGUGAUGAUCCCUAUUAUGUAUGGUCACGGUUAUUUCUCUUGAUUUCUUUUACCUGUGCGCAGGUGAAAGCAUGGGCUCCGCUUUUGAACACGGUCUGCAGCAGCGGAAAGCUAGAGCUCGAGCUUAUGUACAAGGUCCAAAUGCAAUGCUAUGAGGACGCCAAGCUUAUGAAAGUUUUCCCAGAAGUAGUGAGGUCGCUCUAUGAUCUGGAUGUCCUCGCUGAAGACACCAUCCUCCACUGGUUCCGUAAAGGAACCAACACGAAGGGCAGGUAUGCGCUUUGGUCCCGUAGCACUAUACUCAUUUGGAAUGCUUUGUUUAACAAAUUUAUCUGAUGGUUUUGUUCUUGUUUUAAAUGUUGCAGGCAAACCUUUGUGAAGAGCCUUGAGCCAUUUGUGAAUUGGCUUGAAGAGGCAGAGGAAGAAGAGUGAGUGAACCGUGUUUCCAAUAAAAAGAGCCUGCUCAGUGUGUUUGUGUUUCUUAAGCUAAAGACAAUAAAUCCACAGAGUUUAUUUUCUAAACUCUUUUGCUGCACUCUGUUUUUCUUGAUGUAUUUUGGCAAUAUUUCUGCUCUGAGAUGAUUGUAUUUCCUUUUUGUGUUGAAUAUUUUACUCUCUGUUUUCAAUAUGGGGUUUUGAAUUCUUCUUGCUAACGGUUUAUUCGAGAGGUGGGAUGAAGUCGUCCACUCCUUGCAAGUUUGUUUGCCACGUGAUUGUCUCCAAGGGCAUCAUUAACGGAGUGUGCAACUCCAGUCUCUUAGUUUUUUUUUUUUGUCAACAUUCUCUUUUUAUUAGAGAAACCCUAUGGGCAUUUUACAUGAGAAGUUCAUAAGGCUCAGUUAUAAAAUACAUACUCAAAAGCAAUAAAUCAAUACAGUCCGGCCCACUUUAAUCCCAUCAGAUCCUCUUGAGUUCGUAGACUUGCCACUCCAAUUCCACGCGUCUGCUAAGAAGAAACGCUCUGCCACGCGUCUUCAUCUUGAUAUGCAUGAAGCCACACCACAAAUUGAGAUGACACGUGUCUAAAACGCAGCGCCACAUGGAGAGAGAAGCUCUCUGAAGCAGCUCCGCCGGCAAACUCGAUCUGAAGAGGUGUCGCCGCCGAGCACGGUUAUGAACUCCUCAAUCUCCAUUCUUCGCCUAAACCGUCACUUGAGUACAAAUCUCCAUCAGACUUCAGAUAAUAACUCAGGGAAGAUUUGGAUGACCCAAUAGAUGAUUUUUAUUGGACCACUUUCAAUAUAGAGAAGGUGCCAAUUCAUCUAAAUCUCCAUUAGAUUCAACCAAUAUUACUCCAACAUCACCUCUUCCAUUCUGUCUAGGAGACUCUACCAUAAAGUCGAUAUAACGACUCCACAUCAAAUGGGCAGAGAUUGAUUCCUUUUAAGAAGGAAUAAGUGCAAAUCUGAGAGGAAAGAGGAGACCUAACUUAAGCAAACGGGAUCUGGAUAAACUGCAAAAGAGGAAUCUUUAGUAUAUUAUAAUCAAUCUUCACUGGAGAACAAAGAAGACCAUCCUUGAAGCUUUGCUCCAGUUAAGAUUGAACACACCAAAACUCGCCUACGCGAAGGGAACAUCGCCAUAGCGAACAAAGAAAUCGAUCUCAUAGAUCGAGAAAAAUAGUUAUAAUAUGAUACACGACAAAAAAAACAAAAGAAGGGGGGUGGCGAUCGGUGGCAAAUUGCUCACCGGCCACCGAAAACAGUUUCAAUUUCUUUUGUGUUUCUAGAGAGAAGUUGGAGCGUUUAGAGAGAGAAAAGUAAUGAUGUGUACUCCAGUCUCUUAGUUUAAUUGGAUUUAAAAAAAAAAAGAAAAUUAGUAUAAUUAUGAGAAAACGUAUCUUAAUUAGGGGAAAUAAGAAAUGGCCUCUGCUGAGACACGUGUUGUCUUUUGGUUGUUCUUGUGUGUUUCUCUCUCUCCACGGAAGCAAAUCACCGCAUCUCUCUAUCUCUGCAAACCCAUGCCUCUAUCGAUAGAUCGUAAUCGAAUUCGGGAGGUGUAGAGGAACCGAUCAACAUGGGAAACAUCUUUGUCUCGCUUCUCGCCUUGACGCUGUUGUUGCUCGCUUAGACACCCAGGCUAAGAUGGACACCAUCACCAAAUCCAUGACUAACAUCGUCAAAUCCCUUGAAUCUUCCCUCGCCACAGGUAUGUCGAUUGUCAUUAGGCGCUUUUGAUUUGCUGAUAAUCGUUAAUUAGGGUUUAGGUGAAUGUGGAUUUGCAUGAUUGUUUCUGGGUAGAGAGAAAGGUUUUUUCUUUAUGGAAACCCAAGAGGAAAGUAGCGUCCUUUAGUCUUAAUUGCAUACUUCUUCUCUUAAGUGGAAUGUAGCAUGAACGAAGGGGAAUGGAUAGCAUGAAGUAGACAAGUCUAAGUAGAUUCAUUGACUUGUAUUGUAUGCAAUUUGAGGUUUUGUCUGUUGCAGACAAAAUGUGUUUGAUUGUAAUGUUGGUUCUAUCUGUUGAUUUGAUGCAGCAGGUAGCAGAUGACUAUGGUCUUGAAGUAUCUGUUUGAUUACCUCAGCCUGCUGAUCAUAAUGUUUCCUCAACGUGAGCUUCACCACCAAGCAGGCCCAUGGUUAUGCUUUUUCGAAAUCUGGUCAAGAACCCAUGGUUAUACAACUGACCAGUCCCGACUUGUGAUGAGUAAGCGUUGUAGUAGAACUCACGAGCUUCCUCUGCUGGUGUCAAAUUCUAGACCAACGUAAGGUUCGGCUCCUGAGCUUUGACACUGGUAAGCUCACUGCAAAUGAUCCAAAGAAGGGGAAGAAAAUACACACACGAGUUCAUCGAAAAUCUCACAUCAGACAAUGAGUUCCUAACUAUUGUAAAAAGCUAAGAAAGCUAGAGAAUUCAGAAGAAAGGAGGAGACUUUAUCAACCAACCCCAGAGAAGAUGCACUCUCAUCUGAACUGAAUUGAACUGAAGCCAACAACACAAGAACGUAAAAGCCAGACCAGAAAUGUUAUCUGUUUGAUUGAAGUAUCUGUUUGCUUGGACUAUCUGCCACUUAGGACGAGUUCCUUAUCAUAAUGUUACAGCUAUUAUCUACAAACACUUAUUGAAGCCACACAGCAAGCCCACAACAAGCCCAAGACUGUCAUUGGAGAGGU